GUUGGCUCAGAAGCAGCCACUCAUUCAAAGAGUGCGUAAUAGCUCACUGGUCGAGUGAUUUUGCGCCGAAAAUUUAACGGGGCUAAACUGUACACCGAAGCUUGGGAAUAUACAUUUGUAUGUUGGUAGGAGAGCGUUGUGUAAGGGGUGAAGUCGUAGCGAAAGCGGCGGUGGACUUUACACAAGUGAGAAUGCCGGAAUGAGUAGCGAGAAUUGUGUGAGAAUCAUAAUGGCCGAAAGACUAAGGUUUUAGAAGGAAGGUUCGUCCGCUUCUAGUUAGCCGGGAGCUAAGGCGAGGCCGAGAGGCGUAGUCGAUGCACAUACGGUUGAGAUUCCGUAGCUACCUUGCAUUUAAGCGAAGGGACACAUUUGAAGGGCAUGACCCGGGCGUUGGUUGACCCGGGCGUAAGGGACCGAAAAUAAGUAGGGAAGCAUGCUUGGAUGGUGGCGAGAAAAGCUUCGUGUAUAUAAGCAGGGUACCCGUACUGCAAACCGACACAGGUAGUCAGGAAGAGGAUUCUAAGGCCAUCGGGAGAAGCGUUGUUAAGGAACUCGGCAAAUUGACCCCGUAACUUCGGAAUAAGGGGUGCUCACGCGAGUGAGCCGCAGUGAAUAGGUCCAGGCAACUGUUUAUCAAAAACACAGCUCUCUGCUAAAUCGUAAGAUGACGUAUAGGGGGUGACACCUGCCCGGUGCUGGAAGGUUAAGAGGAGGGGUGCAAGCUCCGAAUUGAAGCCCCAGUAAACGGCGGCCGUAACUAUAACGGUCCUAAGGUAGCGAAAUUCCUUGUCGGGUAAGUUCCGACCCGCACGAAUGGUGUAAUGAUCUGGACACUGUCUCAACAACGCACCCGGCGAAAUUGUAGUACCGGUGAAGAUGCCGGUUACCCGCGGCAAGACGGAAAGACCCCAUGGAGCUUCACUGUAGCCUGAUAUUGGGUCUCGGUAUUUUAUGUACAGGAUAGGCGGGAGACUUGGAAACCAGCACGCCAGUGUUGGCGGAGUCACCCUUGGGAUACCGCUCUUAAAGUAUUGAGAUUCUAACCUGCAGCCAUGAAUCUGGCUGGGGGACAUUGUCAGGUGGGCAGUUUGACUGGGGCGGUCGCCUCCAAAAGAGUAACGGAGGCGUUCAAAGGUUCACUCAGCAUGGACGGAAACCAUGCCUUAGAGUGCAAACGCAUAAGUGAGCCUAACUGCGAGACUGACGGGUCGAGCAGUAACGAAAGUUGGAGUUAGUGAU
rnacentral:rRNA from 1 species